CCUACGGGUGGCAGCAGUAGGGAAUCUUGCUCAAUGGGGGAAACCCUGAAGCAGCAACGCCGCGUGGAGGAUGAAGGUUUUCGGAUCGUAAACCUCUUUUGUUAGAGAAGAUAACGACGGUAUCUAACGAAUAAGCACCGGCCAAUUCCGAGCCAGCAGCCGCGGUAAUACGGAGGGUGCAAGCGUUACUCGGAAUCACUGGGCGUAAAGAGCGCGUAGGCGGGAUAGCAAGUCAGAUGUGAAAUCCUAUGGCUUAACCGUAGAACUGCAUUUGAAACUGGUAUUCUAGAGUAUAGGAGAGGUAAGUGGAAUUCUUGGUGUAGGGGUAAAAUCCGUAGAGAUCAGGAGGAAUACUCGUUGCGAAGGCGACCUGCUGGAACGUAACUGACGCUGAUGCGCGAAAGCGUGGGGAGCAAACAGGAUUAGAUACCCUAGUAGUC
rnacentral:rRNA from 1 species